UAUCAUCAGAAGCCCAUGCCUCUGUGGCUGGUGCUCCUGGACUUGGAUGCGCUGCCGGGCAAGUCUGCCCGGCUCGUCCGAAAUGCAUUAGCGAGAGGUGUAGGCUCUGCCGGCUCUCUUUGGCGUGAUAAGGUCACCCGUCGAGAGGCCCCGGUGGGGAGGCCUGCGACCCUUUUGCUUCCAAUCGUCCUCGCGGACAACAACAGACUCCGGUCUGAC
rnacentral:misc_RNA from 1 species